UUUUUUUUUUUUUUUUUUGAGUCUCAAUCGUGUGGACAUCACUGGGAAUGGAGGGAAAUAACUGACUGUAUGAUCGUUGCUUUUUAAGUUUCAAACUGACAUUCCAGGCGGGCUGUUGCCUGAGUGAGCAUCUGUCUUCAGAAUUUCACAGUGGGUUCCUGGGAAGGUGGAAGCCUCUCCCUGCCUCUCUGGCAGACCUGAACUCUGUCCUCUGAUGCCUCAAGCAAUAAGAUCACAACUUUCUGCCUGGCAGACUGAGAUGGGUGAAGUGAGGAGCAGGAGGGGACCGACACGACAGAGGUGUGCAGCCUCCAGCAUCUCCUCCUUUGUGAACUGGAUCCUCCCCAAGGAGACUACGAGAUGAAAACUUCGGAGCCCGGGAGUGAGUGGCCAGCAGGUUGCAGACGUCAGGUGAUGGCCACCAGCCAGCAUGGAACACGCCCCCACAAGACACACAGCAGAGGUGCCACCUGGACCUCCCACCCUGUCAUCUCAAUGCCUUGGACCCCUGGCCAGGAUAUGUGGGGAUGGCACCCACCUGGGCACCCAGCUACUCAUCUGCUGUCUCACCAAUGAGGAGAAUGAAGAACACAGCUCUAUAUGAUGGAUCUGUGAAGUGUUCCUUGAAUAUCUCUGCCCAGAGUGCAACAAUGAGGCCGCUAAUUGAACAAUUCCAACAACCCCGUGGCAUCGUCCUGGCUAUAUUUAGAUUUAUGAAUUAUAUUCAAGAUGGACUCACCAAUUAUUUCUUCAAUGAGUUAUUUCAUUCAAAAGUUAUUGAGAGAGGAGUUCCCAUUGUGGCUCAGUGAAUUAAGGACCCAACAUUGUCUCUGUGAGGGAUUGAUCCAUGGCCUUGCUCAGUGGGUUAAUGAUCUGGAGUUGCUGCAAGCUGUGGUGCAGGCAUAUAGCUGCAGCUGUAUUUCAACCCCUAGCCCAGGAACUUCCAUAUGAGGCAGGUACAGGCAUAAAAAGAAAAAAAAAAAAUUCAGAUAAGACCCAGAGUCUUCCAACCUAAAAGGAAAGACACCUAUAUACAAUUAAAAAAUACUACACAUCAUACUAAGAAUCAAGAAAAUAACAUAAAUGAGAAGACAAUUAGCUGACACCAACAUCUGUCAACGCAUCUGUCAAAGACUGUAAAGCAACCACUGUAAAAGUGCUUCAGAAAACAAUCACAAAUUCUCUUGAAAUGAAAUGGAAAAACAGAAAAAUGUCAGCAAAGAAAAGUUAUUUAAAAAUGGAAAGUAUUGAACUGAUGAAUACAAUAAAAGAAAUUAAAGCUCAUCCAUGGAUGAGCUAAAUUGUAGAAUGGUUAUGACCAAAGAUAGAAUCAGUGAAACUG
rnacentral:lncRNA from 1 species